UUGUGAAUCAAAUAUUUAGUCAGUCUAGUUGGGAGAAGAUCACACAUGUAAACUCCUAUCAGAACAUCAAUACCUGAGCUGGUUGGCUGAAUAAAUAUGAAUAAAUAUUGAACAUAGCGGACUGUCAGAUUCCAUAAUGGUGUUCAUUGUAUUUAAAAGUGGUGUUUGGUCACUGUUGCCUGUCAUCUCUUUAAUCCUGUGUGAGUGUUAAGCCGAUAGUUUUCUUCUAACUGUGAAUUUUAUAACAUUUUUUAUACCAUCGGCUACAUUUUUCUCAGUACUUAGUCAUUGUAAAACUCUUCACAUAAGUAUAAUGACACAAAUCAACAGACCAGUUAAUUUCACUUCC
rnacentral:lncRNA from 12 species